rnacentral:hammerhead_ribozyme from 1 species
CACUGAAGAGUCCCAAACAGGACGAAACAGCUGUCCG